AACGUAGGUGGCAAGCGUUAUCCGGAUUUACUGGGCGUAAAGGGUGUGCAGGCGGAGGACCAAGUGGUGUAUGAAAGGGCUCGGCUCAACCGGGCUAGGUUAUGCCAGACUGAGGGCUAGAGAGCGAGAGCGGGACGUGGAAUUCCGGGUGUAGUGGUGAAAUGCGUAGAGAUCCGGAGGAACCCCAGAGCGAAGGCGGCGUCCGUGGCUCGCGAUCUGACGCUCAGACACGACAGCAUGGGGAGCGAACGGG
rnacentral:rRNA from 1 species